AUGGAGAUGGUGGAGAAGCUUUCUCUCACCACAAUACCACAUCCACAUCCUUACUACAUCCAAUGGUUCAACAACAGCGGCAAGGUUAAGGUAACACGUACUGUUCGUGUGCAUUUUAGUAUCUCUACAUAUGCUGAUUAUGUUGAUUGUGAUGUGGUACAUAUGCAAGCAUGUUCCUUAUUACUUGGUAGACCAUGGCAAUUUGAUAAAAAUUCUGUACACCAUGGUAGAAACAAUCAGUAUACUCUUGUACAUAAGGAUAAAACUAUUACUUUGCUUCCUAUGACUCCUGAUUCCAUUUUGAAAGAUGAUAUUAAUAGAGCUAAUAAAGCAAAACAGGAGAAGAAUAAGAGUGAAAAUCAGAUUGUGGCAAAAGAAUUUGAGCAAAAAAUGAAGCCUAAUAAUAAACCAUCUAGUGUUGCUUCUGAAAUUAAAUUGAAAAGUGCAUGUUUAUUUGCCACCAAAUCUGAAAUUGAUGAGCUAGAUUUCAGCAAAUCUGUUUGCUAUGCAAAGAGGCAUUAUUUUCAUUCGAGGGCGUGCCUUCCUCUUUGCCUCCUGCUUUCACUAACAUUUUGCAGGAGUUCGCUGACGUCUUUCCACAAGACGUGCCACCGGGAUUACUGCCUAUUCGAGGGAUUGAGCAUCAGAUUGACUUAA
rnacentral:rRNA from 1 species